rnacentral:rRNA from 1 species
UCCGUAGGUGAACCUGCGGAAGGAUCAUUACAGAGUGCGGGAACCCAGUCGGGUCCCAAUCUCCCACCCGUGUCUACCACACCUAGUGUUGCUUUGGCGGGCCCACUCCUCCGGUGUUCCGCCGGGGGGGUCGUCCCGGGGCGCGGUGUGCCCCCGGGGCCCGUGCCCGCCAGAGGCACUCACUGUGAACGCUUUUGAGAAUGCGAGGAUUGUCUGAGUGACGAAAUGCAAUCGUUCAAAACUUUCAACAAUGGAUCUCUUGGUUCCGGCAUCGAUGAAGAACGCAGCGAAAUGCGAUAAGUAAUGUGAAUUGCAGAAUUCUGUGAAUCAUCGAAUCUUUGAACGCACAUUGCGCCCUCUGGUAUUCCGGGGGGCAUGCCUGUCCGAGCGUCAUUGCGAACUCUCAAGCACGGCUUGUGUGUUGGGCCGCCGUCCCCUCGUUUGGAGGGGACGGGCCUGAAAGGCAGCGGCGGCGUCGCGUCCGGUCCUCGAGCGUAUGGGGCUCUGUCACGCGCUCAAGGAGGGGUCCGGCCGGGGCCAUAGCCUCUGAAGGUCAGUUCUUCCAAGGUUGACCUCGGAUCAGGUAGGAGUACCCGCUGAACUUAAGCAUAUCAAUAAGCGGAGGA